AUGCCUAGGAAAGCUCAUGAGGGACUGGGGCGGCGCUCUUGUGGGCUGGCAGGUCCCGUCCCCCGCGGUGAAGCCCCGGCCGAAGCGGCGAUGCGCCUCAUUCAGAACAUGUGCACCAUAGCCGAGUACCCCGCCCCGGGCAGCGCAGCCGCAGCAGAUUUCUGCCUGGGGGCCGCAGGCCGCCGCCUGGUCAAGAUCGCCGUAGUGGGCGCCAGUGGCGUGGGCAAGACUGCUCUCGUGGUCCGGUUCCUCACCAAACGAUUCAUCGGCGACUAUGAAAGAAAUGCAGGUAAUCUCUAUACCAGACAAGUCCAAAUAGAAGGUGAAACCCUGGCUAUUCAGGUUCAAGACACUCCAGGUAUUCAGGUCCACGAGAAUGGCCUGAGCUGCACCGAGCAGCUGAACAGGUGUAUCCGCUGGGCAGACGCCGUGGUGAUCGUCUUCUCCAUCACUGACUACAAGAGCUAUGAGCUCACCAGCCAGCUUUACCAGCACGUGCAGCAGCUGCACCUGGGUGCCCGGCUGCCCGUGGUGGUUGUGGCCAACAAGGCCGACCUGCUACACAUCAAGCAGGUGGACCCACAGCUCGGACUGCAGCUGGCACGCCAGAGAAGCGACGGACCUCCCUCAUCCCUCGGCCCAAGUCCCCCAACAUGCAGGAGAGGAAGUGUUGUCCUGAGCAGGGGGGCAGAACUGACGUGGUGUGAACGAGCCACCUCUGAUGAUGCCAAACAGCCUCCACGACUUUCCCUUUGGAGCGGGGAGGGGUUGGGUGAUGGCUUGGGAUUUUGUUAA
rnacentral:lncRNA from 1 species